rnacentral:misc_RNA from 1 species
AACGUAGGAGACGAACGUUAUCCGGAGUUACUGGGCGUAAAGGGCGUGUAGGCGGACUGCUAAGUCUGGCGUGAAAGCUCUCGGCUAAACCGGGAGAGGUCGUUGGAUACUGGCGGACUAGAGGGUGGUAGAGGCGUGUGGAAUUCCGGGUGUAGUGGUGAAAUGCGUAGAGAUCCGGAGGAACACCAGUGGCGAAGGCGACACGCUGGGCCAUACCUGACGCUAAAGCGCGACAGCAUGGGGAGCAAACGGG